rnacentral:rRNA from 1 species
GAUGAACGCUGGCGGCGUGCCUAAUACAUGCAAGUCGAGCGAACAGAUAAGGAGCUUGCUCCUUUGACGUUAGCGGCGGACGGGUGAGUAACACGUGGGUAACCUACCUAUAAGACUGGAAUAACUCCGGGAAACCGGGGCUAAUGCCGGAUAACAUUUAGAACCGCAUGGUUCUAAAGUGAAAGAUGGUUUUGCUAUCACUUAUAGAUGGACCCGCGCCGGAUUAGCUAGUUGGUAAGGUAACGGCUUACCAAGGCAACGAUACGUAGCCGACCUGAGAGGGUGAUCGGCCACACUGGAACUGAGACACGGUCCAGACUCCUACGGGAGGCAGCAGUAGGGAAUCGUCCGCAAUGGGCGAAAGCCUGACGGAGCAACGCCGCGUGAGUGAUGAAGGUCUUCGGAUCGUAAAACUCUGUUAUUAGGGAAGAACAAAUGUGUAAGUAACUGUGCACGUCUUGACGGUACCUAAUCAGAAAGCCACGGCUAACUACGUG